rnacentral:lncRNA from 1 species
AGUACCAAUGUUGAUGCAUGUAAUGGCGAUAAUCCUUGAAGCGCAAGGAUAGAUAGGUAUCGAUCGCUCCCUCACACGAUCAUCCUCGAAAUCGACGAUGUCAAAUACACCCUGCCAAUAACAAAUAUUAGAAAAAUACUAUGCAAAUUAAAUAUUCGUAAUAUAAUUUAUUUUAUCUGUAAGUGGGUGUAGAAAACCUGUCUCUGAGCCGGGACAACAUGACGUC